rnacentral:lncRNA from 1 species
GGAGAAGGAGGCAUAAAAGGAGAUGAUGGCAAAAAGGGGGAGAGGGGUGACCCAGGUGCAAAUGGUAAAGAUGGUAGUAAGGGUGACGCAGGGCCUCCAGGUUUGCCUGGAAAGCAGGUGUUAGUCACUACAGAGGUAAAUAUUCUGUGAUACAUUUGUAGUGUUUUUUAAACAGAUCCAUCUAGACCUGCCUGGCUGUUUAAACCUCACUCAUUUUGUAACACAGGGCGCCACCAUUGACGAAAUCCGACAAGCAUUUCCAAUCCCAAUGGGUCCCCCAGGAGCUACUGUGAGUGCUUCCACAUAUUUAUAGCUCACAAAUAAGGGCACAUAAUUUAAGCUUGUGCAUGGUAUAAUUUGUGUUUUGCUUGCACGGCAUGUGAGUCAUCAUUCAGCGAUGACUAUAGGGCUUUUAUUAAGGGUGCAAUAUGUUAUGCCAUCAUUUGUGAACUCUUAUGGCAAAGUUGAUGCCACGCGUUGUAGAUGCAUGUUUCAAUGUCCCGUUCUUCUGCUCCUGUUUAGGGUUCACCAGGAAUGAAGGUAAGAUGAUAAUGGCGUGUGUAUAUAUAUCGAAAACAGCAAUAUUAGCGUUUUGGUUCAUUUUUCAUUUUUGCAGGGUGAUCCAGGAGAAAAAGGCCUGAAAGGAGAGAAGGUAGAGCUGAACAAUCCCAUCCCUCAAAAACACGAACACGGAAAUGACAUGAUUUUCAAUGCAUUUGCUUCCUUUUAUCAAAGGGUGAUGCUGGAGCUCCUGGAAAGUCUAUUGAAAUGAAGGUGAUUACAGCAUGUGGUCAUUUCGCCUUUGGGAUCUACUAUGUUCUUAUUUUCCAUUAUGUUUUGAAGCAACACAUUUUCUCUUUGAUGCAGGACAUUGAAGAGAUGUUUGAAGCAUAUGGAAUAAGGGUAAGUUGCACAUGUGAAUGAGUUCAGAUCAUGACAGAAAUGUAAUAGCGUCGCAGUUUGACCUUCACAAAUAAAAACUGUUUUUCAGCUUCCUUUGCUGAAGGCUUUGAUUGACAGACUGCUGCAGGACGGAAUAGAGGAGCUGCUUCAUGUGCUCGGCACGACCAAGAAGGCAAAGGAAAACACAGACAGUCACACCUCCAACAUCAUCACAGAGUACACAAGUUCAGUGAAGUUUGACCUCACCAGCCAGCCUUCGUCUGACUUGGGCACCAUUGAAGAUGCAGCUUUAGAUUUUUCAGAGUCUUUGUCUAUUGAGCCUUUAAAUGAAACUGAAGAGGGUCCGACUUUAUGGACCGUCACUGCACUGAAUGGAGAGCAAGGGCUUGACAAGACUGAAACCAAAUUAAGGGGAUCCAGAAGGAAGGAGAUGGGGCCUUCACUCAAACUUAACCUAACUGUAGUCAAUACUACUUUUAAUUAUACUAUGAUGGAGGAGACGGUUUCAGGUUUACCUGGACCUGUGGUGGAAACUGUUCUUCUCACUCACGAAGAGUCUCUGACUAAGAAUGCGGGACAGAAGAAGAACAGGGAGCGUGGGAAGGUAAAGUCACAGCAGCUACCAUCAGAUGAAUGA